UCAACGCAUGUACAGUUAAAAUGAGCAGAAAAAUUGGCGUUUUCACGCAGUCCCUUAAUGACGCACUCAUGAACGCACUUAUUAUGUCACAUUUGGGAUUCUCUUUGGUCGGAGGGCUGCUGUGAUCAGCAGAGACAGUUUAACUCAAGCAGAUAUGGGACAGAGCUGCAAUGGAAUGUCUGGCCCUCAUCCUGAAUGCAAGGAAAGCUGUGGGGACAACUGUCACCGGGACGAGCCCUGUGUGGACCGCUGCUGUAACCUGUGCUGUCAGUUCUGUCUGGACGGCUGCUGUCUCAUCUGCCCAGAUGACUGCAGCUACACACUGUGUUUCACAUGCACCACGAUUGCUGACUCCUGCGCUGCCAUCCUGACCACUGAGCAGCCCAGAUCUACACAGAAACCAAGAGAAGGGUCUCAUUUGGAAGAAGGGCAGGUGAUUUAGAUCAUCUGAUCAAUGAAAUGUUAACUAAUGGACUGGAUGAAGACCUGAUUCCUACUUCAUGAUGCCAUUCUCUGAAUUGCAAGAGACUGAAAAACAUGGAGGAAGUUCAAUGAACGUGCAUUUGUAGAUCAUUUGCAACCUCUGUAAUGGAGCACAUGCUAUAUUGUGUAUACACUGUAUUGUACACUACUGUAUAUAUUUAAGUUCUAAAUACAACUGAUUCUGUGAACUACACAAGUGUCAUCUGUGAAAUGUAUCUAGAGGAUCUAUUUAAAAGUAAAACCCCUUGUGCAAUCAUGCAAAAUAACAAAAGCUUUGCUUGACGUGGUAUGUGCCAGAAUGACUGACUCUCAGAGGAUUAGCAGGAAAAACUUGAUUUGCACACCCUGUGGAACGUGCCGUCACAGAGGCACAGUAUUUAUAUUUAGGAGUCCACCCAGGCGUGCGUCAGAUCAGCCCUGUCAACAUCACGAGAAAGACAACUUGGACACAUUUGAAAGAACUUACAGAAAUUGACUUUUUAUGGUGACUUUUAAAAGGUGAAAAGAGGACAGGAGAUACAAAAGAGGUAAACAAGAUCAUCUGAGAAGCAGAGAAUGUCGUUUCUAUGCUCUUUUCUCCUUUUGUGGCAGUGUAGUGAUUGAGGAUUUUAAUUUCUUCUCAAUUUCAAGAAAAAAAAACAGAAGUGGGACUGAAGAAGAGAGGAAUAUUAAAGAAAAAAAGAAGACUCGAAACGUCUGAAGGCACUUGACAAAGGCCUGCAGAAGACCAGCCAUGGAGGAAGAUUUCAAGAGACCACCGCCAUCCUAUGACGACGUUAUUACCGAGCAGCACACGAGCAACACUAGUCAGAGCCGCUCCGCAGAUAACAAGCAGGGCUGCUGCUGCAGAUGCUGCAUUAGCACCAAGAACUGUCUGAUGAGUCCGGAGUGUGGUCGAGCUCUUAACAUCGCCAGCGUGGUUGCCAUGUGUGGCAUGUGUAUUCGGAUGUUUGUCUAACGCAGUCUCCUCGUGGACCAUCUAUUCCAGAUCUCUCAUCCAGUGGUGGCCUUCUCACAUUAAAAAGGAAACAAAGACACUUGCUCUGUUCCAAAACCUAGUGAUCUGCAACAUUUAUAAGCUUUCCCCCAAUACGAAUCCCAAAGCUGUUCCAAAUAGGAUGCAGCACUGCAUUUAUCAUUCACAGAUAAGGUAAUCCCAGAACAAACUGACUAAAAUUUCCAUUUCAAAAAGGAAACGUCAUUUGCAAAGUAUAACUUAUAAACACAAAGUAUAUUUAAUUCAGUACUGACAAAUAUCAUUGAAAAACACUGCCAUGUCAUACAAUCUAGUCUCUUAUGUGAUUUAUGGGCCUCAUUCAUGAAAAAAGUAGCACAAUAAAUUCAUAAAUCUUUUGUAAAAUCAUUAAGUGUGGCAUUUAAUUAAAUUGGCAUGAGUGACCACUUAAGGUGCGGUCACAUUUAUCAUUGUUAUAUGAACUAGACAAGUCAUUUCAAUAGGGAUCCAAGUUGUAAGGAAUUGUCUUGAGAGCAGAUUUCCCCAGGCAGAUUUCAGUUAAAGUUGGUAACGCAAAUUCAUCAUGUUGACCAACAGAAAGCUGUUUGGUUUGAAAAUUAAUUCUGCAUGAGCUGACAACAGGCAAUGACAAUUUUGUCUGCAAAAUGUUGCUAAUGUGACUGUACCUUCCCAGUAUCUAAUUCCAUUUUGAAAGACAAUAGUGUUAAUAUAUUUGUACUAAUAUGUUCUCUACAAUCCAAGACACCUUUGUUUAUGUAGAUCUUUAAUACUAAACAGAAAAAAAAACAGAAUCAGUGAUGCAAACUUCAAAAAACAUGAGGCAAUCCAAAUUUUGCUGUAAAGCAUCUCUAACAAGACACUCCAGAACCUAAAAUAGUUGCAGUCAUUUGGAAAUGUUAAUUAAGCUCAUCAUUUUUUUUUUCUUUCAUAAAUUGGUGCCAGUCAUGUAAUUGGAUGUGGCAUCCACCUUAAUUAUUCAUCAGGCUAUCAAAACUUUGCAUUUAUCAUUAACAUUUCUGCUAAGACUUCUUGUGUGAAAAUCUAAUUUAUAAUACUUUAUAAUGUUUUAAAUGAUGUGCACUAGACAGACAAGCUAAUAAAUCACAAUGCUUGAUUAUUUUCAGAAUUGUGGUGAAUUGUUUUGCUUUAAGACUAUAAAAUAUUAAACCUGUUGACUGCUAAUGUGUAAAUAAGGAUCUUCUGUGGAUAUAAAGCCAUCUGUCUUAUUGCGGUACAUAAACAAAACCCCUUACAGCUGGAGCAUUUUACCCUUAGGAGUAAAUAUUCAUCCAGCUAACUCUGCACUCAAACAUGUAAAAUAAUAAAGAUAUCUGACAUUAGCAAAUAA